AUUGAACGCUGGCGGCAUGCCUUACACAUGCAAGUCGAACGGCAGCACGGGAGCAAUCCUGGUGGCGAGUGGCGAACGGGUGAGUAAAGUAUCGGAACGUGCCCAGUCGUGGGGGAUAACGUAGCGAAAGUUACGCUAAUACCGCAUACGAUCUAUGGAUGAAAGCGGGGGAUCGCAAGACCUCGCGCGAUUGGAGCGGCCGAUAUCAGAUUAGGUGGUUGGUGGGGUAAAGGCCCACCAAGCCGACGAUCUGUAGCUGGUCUGAGAGGACGACCAGCCACACUGGAACUGAGACACGGCCCAGACUCCUACGGGAGGCAGCAGUGGGGAAUUUUGGACAAUGGGCGAAAGCCUGAUCCAGCCAUGCCGCGUGCAGGAUGAAGGCCUUCGGGUUGUAAACUGCUUUUGUACGGAACGAAAAGGACUGCCCUAAUACGGUGGUCCCAUGACGGUACCGUAAGAAUAAGCACCGGCUAACUUCGUGCCAGCCGCCGCGGUAACAC
rnacentral:rRNA from 1 species